rnacentral:lncRNA from 1 species
GUUAGGUUAGAACAGGACAGGGGUGAAGGGUUAGAACAGGACUGGGGUUAAGGGUUAGGGUUAGAACAGGACUGGGGUGAAGGGUUAGGUUAGAACAGGACUGGGGUGAAGGGUUAGGUUAGAACAGGACAGGGGUGAAGGGUUAGGUUAGAACAGGACAGGGUGAAGGGUUAGAACAGGACUGGGGUGAAGGGUUAGGUUAGAACAGGACUGAGGUGAAGGGUUAGAUUAGAACAGGACAGGGGUGAAGGGUUAGAACAGGACUGGGGUGAAGGGUUAGGUUAGAACAGGACAGGGGUGAAGGGUUAGGUUAGAACAGGACAGGGGUUAAGGGUUAGGUUAGAACAGAACUGAGGUGAAGGGUUAGAACAGGACUGGGUUGAAGGGUUAGAUUAGAACAGGACUGGGGUGCAGGGUUAGGUUAGAACAGGACUGGGGUGA